UACGUAGGGCGCAAGCGUUGUCCGGAAUUAUUGGGCGUAAAGAGCUCGUAGGCGGCUUGUUGCGUCGGCUGUGAAAUCCCGAGGCUCAACCUCGGGUCUGCAGUCGAUACGAGCAAACUAGAGGUGUUGGCAGGGGAGACUGGAAGUUCCUAGGUGUAGCGGUGAAAUGCGCAGAUAUCGAGGAGGAACACCGGUGGCGAAGGCGGGUCUCUGGGCAACAACUGACGCUGGAGGAGCGAAAGCGUGGGGAGCGAACAGG
rnacentral:rRNA from 1 species